UGCCUCCUCUCGUGUCCCACAUGAGCUUGUCCUGGAAACCUAACUGAGGGUGACAGGAGAUGCAGAAAGGACAUCAGACAGAAGACCAAACAUGCACAAAGCUGGGACCAGAGAAGCCAGAACUUCCAUAUUCCAAGGACUGGUGAGUUGAGAAGAAAUAUGGCAUUCCAGGCUUCAGUGUCAUUUGAGGAUGUGGCUGUGGACUUUACCUGGGAGGAAUGGAAGGAUCUGGAUGAUGAUCAGAGGACCCUGUACAGGGAGGUGAUGCUGCAGACCUACAGCAGCCUGGUGUCCUUGGGGCAAUGUAUCACCAAACCUGAGCUGAUUUUCAAGCUGGAGCAAGGAGCAGAGCCAUGGAUGGGAAAAGAAUCUGCAAACCAGAGCCCAUCAGGUCAGUCAGUGCAUCCUGGGUAGGGACAUCAUGAGA